UCAUAACGUUGCUGUAAGGAUCAAAUGCAAAGUUCUGGAAGCCAUGUGUCUGGCACCUGCGCUGAUCUACGUUUUCUCUUGAAUGAAACACUCAGGCCUCCAGACCCCAAGUCUCUUCUCAAACCCAGCCUUCCUCGUGAUGCGGAUCCAUAUGUGAUUUGGUCAUGUGCCUUCUGCUCCUCAAAACCCUUACUGCCCACAGAAUAAAACCAACUCUCAAGGAUGAGCAUACAGUCUUCCCUGAGCUGGUCCCAAGAAUUCCUUCCAGUCUUACCUCUUGCUGACAUCAUCAUCAUUAUUAUUUUAAAAUAAACUCUGGGGAAAUUCCCUGGUGGCUGCCACUGAUUUUCACAAGGACUGUAUAAUUUUAUGCUCCUACCAGUCACGUAUGAGAGUUCUGAUUGCUCCAUAUUUUUUCAAUACUUGGUAUUGUAAGAGUCUUCACUUAAAAAAAAAAAGUUUUUUGGAUGAUUCAGUUUCACAAUCAGUCUUAGAAACCUGUAGACUGGACUAGUUGCAGUUCCCUGAAUAUUAUUAGCUAAUAUUAACUGAGCACUUGCUAAGUGUCUGGCUCUUUUCCAAGAUCUUUAUCAAUGUUAUAUCAUUUAAAUAUCACAACAACUCUGUGAAAGAGACACUAUGAUUCUAUUUUACAGAUGGGGACAGUUAGGUACAGGGAGGCUGAAUAACUUGCCUAAGGUCACAUAGCUCAUAAGCGACGUAAGUUGGGUUUGAAAUAGGCACUUUGGCUCUUCAUCCAUCAGUUGAACCACUGACUUUUACUUGCCCAUACAAAUUGUGUAUAAAUCCCCUAUUGGGCUUAAUCAGUAAUUGCUGACAUUAUAUUUUUAAAAUCUUUAUUUAUGAUUUCGCUGUGUCAGGUCUUAACUGCGCCAUGUAGAAUCUUUCCCUGAGCAUGAAUUCUCUAGCUGUGCCAUGCAGACUCAACAGCUGUGGCACAGGGCCCUAGCAGGUUCCUAAGGCUUCGCUGCUCCACAGCGUGUGGGAUCUUAGUUCUCCUAGCUGUGAUCUAACCCACGUCCCAUACAUUGCAAGGCAGAUUCUUAACUACUGGACCGCGAGGGACGUCCCUGUCAUCAUUAUUUUUACUCAAAUCCCACUCAUCCUUCAAAAUUCAGGUCAAAUUCCUCCUCUUCUAUCCAGGUUUCUGUCUCCCCCUCUCCUUCUUCCUCUGUGUAAUCCCUCAGUGUAACAUAAGUCCUUCAGCAAUGUAUGAGACUUUUGGGUUGACUUUUAUUCUGUUUUUGCACUGUCUUAUCAUGCUCAUUAUAUUUGUAAGGUCAUUGAGAUUAGGGCCACUUCAUGUUUAUCUUUCUAGUCCCAGCAUGUUGACCUGAAUUUAAUGUUUUUAUAAAUACGGUUGCCCCUCUGUAUCCACGGGUUCCACAUCCACCAAUUCAACCAACCACGGAUGGAAAAUAUUCUGAAGAAAAAAGUUCCAAAAAGCAAAACUUCAUUUGCUGCCACUCUGGCAACUAUUUACAUAGCAUUUAAACUGUAUUUACAGUUAUUUACAUAGCAUUUACAUUGUAUUUGGUAUCAUAAGUAAUCUAGAUAUGAUUCAAAGUAUAUUGAGAGAAUGGGACUUCCCUGGUGGUACAGUGGUUAAGACUCCAAAUUUUGCAGGCUGCAUCCCUGGUCAGGAACUAUGUGCCUCGUGGCCAAAAGGUUUUUAAAAAUAUAUAUAUGGG
ensembl:lncRNA